CGCGUAGGUGGUAUCGUGUGUCGGAUGUGAAAUCCCAUGGCUCAACUGUGGAACUGCAUUCGAAACUGCGGAACUAGAGUACAGGAGGGGAGAGCGGAAUUCUUGGUGUAGCGGUGAAAUGCGUUGAUAUCAAGAAGAACACCGGUGGCGAAGGCGGCUCUCUGGAAUGUUACUGACACUGAGGCACGAAAGCUGGGGGAGCAAACAGGAUUAGAUACCCUGGUAGUCC
rnacentral:rRNA from 1 species